UACGGGGGGGGGCAAGCGUUGUUCGGAAUUACUGGGCGUAAAGGGCUCGUAGGUGGCCAACUAAGUCAGACGUGAAAUCCCCUCGGCUUAACCGGGGAACUGCGUCUGAUACUGGAUGGCUUGAGGUUGGGAGAGGGAUGCGGAAUUCCAGGUGUAGCGGUGAAAUGCGUAGAUAUCUGGAGGAACACCGGUGGCGAAGGCGGCAUCCUGGACCGGCAUUGACGCUGAGGCACGAAGGCCAGGGGAGGCAAACGGG
rnacentral:rRNA from 1 species